AACGCACCUUGCGCUCCUUGGUAUUCCGAGGAGCAUGCCUGUUUGAGUGUCAUUUUAGUUUGUCAACCAGUUUAACUUGUUCUUUCUUUUGAAUGAACAGUUAUAUUGGUUUGGAUUUAUGGGAGUUUUGCGAGCUUUGUCAAGAAGUUGGCUCUCCUUAAAUAUAUUAGCUAGGAAACCUUUGCAGACCAUUCCCAGUGUGAUAAAUUAUCUACACUAUUUGAAAGGACAGCUGUAUCAUAAGGUUUAGCUUCUAAUUGUCAUUUGUGACACAUCUGUUAAAAUCUUGACCUCAAAUCAGGUAGGACUACCCGCUGAACUUAA
rnacentral:misc_RNA from 1 species